rnacentral:lncRNA from 1 species
ACAGACAGGCAGGGAGACACUCAUGAAGUCAGAGACAGACAAACAGCGGCAGAUGAAGCACAAGAAGAGAACCAGACCAAUGUGGAGAAGAAGAAAGAAGCAAAAUCUAGCCAGGAGUCCAGUUAAUUACGAGCUCUAAAGAGGCACUGACAGCUUCCAGAACCAGUACUGCGGGCGGCACGCUGGGGAGCUUUGGAAGUCUGCCAUGCUGCUUAACACAGUGGUGGAAGAACAGAGAAACCCGUUUGGCCAGGUGGUCUCCGCACUGACCUGUCAGCUGACUCUACAAAAGGAAAUUUCACGGUGGCGUGUGUGCAUGUAGACAGGUCAAGGCGUGCUUUCGUGCAAGGCAGCCUGGAAUCAGCAGGAAGCUCUCCUGAACUCAUCCCUGUGCCUUGCCAGAUGGGCACUCUGCUGGGCAGGUCACUGCACCCACACUGUUCAACUUCUUCGCAAGACCGCUGGCCAAAAGGAAGGCUCCAAGAACAAGCCUGGUGACAUCCAUUUCUCGGUCGCUUCACAGAACAGCCGUGGACCCCAAAACAUAAAACCCCUUUCUAAGUCUUCAGGAAACCUGGAAGGGCACUGACAGCCUUCCGUGACGGCAGGCUCUGCCCUGAUGGAAAGUGGGAGGCAGCCUGGUGAAGUGAGCCCUCCUGCUGGGUACUGGGCAGGGCUCCAAGGGGGCCACAGAAUUGUGAGGAUCUGGAUCUGGAUCUGGCUUCUGAGUCUGACUUACCCUGACCUGCAUGGGCUAUACUCAACCAACCCCAGUCCCUGGACCCACAAGCCCUUCUUAUGUUCCGCCUUUGUACCUGCUCUGUCCCCUGACCUGAUUUUUUC